rnacentral:rRNA from 1 species
GAUGAACGCUGGCGGCGUGCUUAACACAUGCAAGUCGAACGGGAAACCUUUUAUUGAAGCUUCGGCAGAUUUAGCUGGUUUCUAGUGGCGGACGGGUGAGUAACGCGUGGGUAACCUGCCCUAUACAGGGGGAUAACAACCAGAAAUGGUUGCUAAUACCGCAUAAGCGCACAGGGCCGCAUGGUCCGGUGUGAAAAACUCCGGUGGUAUAGGAUGGACCCGCGUUGGAUUAGCCAGUUGGCAGGGUAACGGCCUACCAAAGCGACGAUCCAUAGCCGGCCUGAGAGGGUGAACGGCCACAUUGUGACUGAGACACGGCCCAGACUCCUACGGGAGGCAGCAGUGGGGAAUAUUGCACAAUGGGGGAAACCCUGAUGCAGCGACGCCGCGUGAAGGAAGAAGUAUCUCGGUAUGUAAACUUCUAUCAGCAGGGAAGAUAGUGACGGUACCUGACUAAGAAGCCCCGGCUAACUACGUG